UACGAAGGGGGCUAGCGUUGCUCGGAGUCACUGGGCGUAAAGCGCACGUAGGCGGCUUACUAAGUCAGGGGUGAAAUCCUGGAGCUCAACUCCAGAACUGCCUUUGAUACUGGUGAGCUUGAGUCCGGAAGAGGUGAGUGGAACUGCGAGUGUAGAGGUGAAAUUCGUAGAUAUUCGGAAGAACACCAGUGGCGAAGGCGACUUACUGGACACAUAUUGACGCUGAGGUGCGAAAGCGUGGGGAGCAAACAGG
rnacentral:rRNA from 1 species